AUUAUACCGCGAAACUGCGAAUGGCUCAUUAAAUCAGUUAUCGUUUAUUUGAUAGUACCUUACUACUUGGAUAACCGUGGUAAUUCUAGAGCUAAUACAUGCUAAAAAUCCCGACUCACGAAGGGAUGUAUUUAUUAGAUUAAAAACCAAUGCCCUUCGGGGCUCCUUGGUGAUUCAUAAUAACUUCUCGAAUCGCAUGGCCUUGCGCCGGCGAUGGUUCAUUCAAAUUUCUGCCCUAUCAACUUUCGAUGGCAGGGUCUUGGCCUGCCAUGGUUACAACGGGUAACGGAGGGUUAGGGCUCGACCCCGGAGAAGGAGCCUGAGAAACGGCUACUACAUCCAAGGAAGGCAGCAGGCGCGCAAAUUACCCAAUCCCGAUACGGGGAGGUAGUGACAAUAAAUACUGAUACAGGGCUCUUUUGGGUCUUGUAAUUGGAAUGAGUACAAUUUAAAUCCCUUAACGAGGAACAAUUGGAGGGCAAGUCUGGUGCCAGCAGCCGCGGUAAUUCCAGCUCCAAUAGCGUAUAUUAAAGUUGUUGCAGUUAAAAAGCUCGUAGUUGAACCUUGGGCCUGGCUGGCCGGUCCGCCUCACCGCGUGCACUGGUUCGGCCGGGCCUUUCCCUCUGGGGAGCCGCAUGCCCUUCACUGGGUGUGUCGGGGAACCAGGACUUUUACUGUGAAAAAAUUAGAGUGUUCAAAGCAGGCCUAUGCUCGGAUACAUUAGCAUGGAAUAAUAGAAUAGGACGUGUGGUUCUAUUUUGUUGGUUUCUAGGACCGCCGUAAUGAUUAAUAGGGACAGUCGGGGGCAUCAGUAUUCAAUUGUCAGAGGUGAAAUUCUUGGAUUUAUUGAAGACUAACUACUGCGAAAGCAUUUGCCAAGGAUGUUUUCAUUAAUCAGGAACGAAAGUUAGGGGAUCGAAGACGAUCAGAUACCGUCGUAGUCUUAACCAUAAACUAUGCCGACUAGGGAUCGGACGGUGUUAUUUUUUGACCCGUUCGGCACCUUACGAGAAAUCAAAGUC
rnacentral:rRNA from 1 species